AUGUUGGUCGUCGCCGCCGCCGCCGUGGUGGUGGGGACUCACGGCGGGGUUAACAAAGGGGUUCCAACUGAUGUAUGCCUCGGAUCUGGUGCAUAUAUGCCUCGGAUCCUACGUGCAGCAGGUGAGCAGUUCUUCGCUGUUCCGGCCUCUACUUCGUUGUCUGUUCGACCUCGAUCGAUCUGCACAACUUUUUGUCCAUGA
rnacentral:rRNA from 1 species